AGGGAAACCGAGUCUUAACUGGGCGUUAAGUUGCAGGGUAUAGACCCGAAACCCGGUGAUCUAGCCAUGGGCAGGUUGAAGGUUGGGUAACACUAACUGGAGGACCGAACCGACUAAUGUUGAAAAAUUAGCGGAUGACUUGUGGCUGGGGGUGAAAGGCCAAUCAAACCGGGAGAUAGCUGGUUCUCCCCGAAAGCUAUUUAGGUAGCGCCUCGUGAACUCAUCUUCGGGGGUAGAGCACUGUUUCGGCUAGGGGGUCAUCCCGACUUACCAACCCGAUGCAAACUGCGAAUACCGAAGAAUGUUAUCACGGGAGACACACGGCGGGUGCUAACGUCCGUCGUGAAGAGGGAAACAACCCAGACCGCCAGCUAAGGUCCCAAAGUCACAGUUAAGUGGGAAACGAUGUGGGAAGGCUCAGACAGCCAGGAUGUUGGCUUAGAAGCAGCCAUCAUUUAAAGAAAGCGUAAUAGCUCACUGGUCGAGUCGGCCUGCGCGGAAGAUGUAACGGGGCUAAACUGUGCACCGAAGCUGCGGCAGCGACGCUUAUGCGUUGUUGGGUAGGGGAGCGUUCUGUAAGCCUGCGAAGGUGUCCUGUGAGGGAUGCUGGAGGUAUCAGAAGUGCGAAUGCUGACAUAAGUAACGAUAAUGCGGGUGAAAAGCCCGCUCGCCGGAAGACCAAGGGUUCCUGUCCAACGUUAAUCGGGGCAGGGUGAGUCGACCCCUAAGGCGAGGCCGAAAGGCGUAGUCGAUGGGAAACGGGUUAAUAUUCCCGUACUUGGUGUUACUGCGAAGGGGGGACGGAGAAGGCUAUGUUGGCCGGGCGACGGUUGUCCCGGUUUAAGCGUGUAGGCUGGUUUUCCAGGCAAAUCCGGAAAAUCAAGGCUGAGGCGUGAUGACGAGGCACUACGGUGCUGAAGCAACAAAUGCCCUGCUUCCAGGAAAAGCCUCUAAGCAUCAGGUAACAUCAAAUCGUACCCCAAACCGACACAGGUGGUCAGGUAGAGAAUACCAAGGCGCUUGAGAGAACUCGGGUGAAGGAACUAGGCAAAAUGGUGCCGUAACUUCGGGAGAAGGCACGCUGACACGUAGGUGAAGUGAU
rnacentral:rRNA from 1 species